UACGGGGGGAGCAAGCGUUAUCCGGAAUUACUGGGCGUAAAGGGCGCGUAGGCGGCCUUCUAAGUCGAACGUGAAAUCCCUGGGCUCAACCCAGGAACUGCGUCCGAUACUGGAAGGCUUGAAUCCGGGAGAGGGAUGCGGAAUUCCAGGUGUAGCGGUGAAAUGCGUAGAUAUCGGGAGGAACACCAGUGGCGAAGGCGACUUCCUGGCCUGUUCUUGACGCUGAGGCGCGAAAGCUAGGGGAGCAAACGGG
rnacentral:rRNA from 1 species